rnacentral:rRNA from 1 species
AUUGAACGCUGGCGGCAGGCCUAACACAUGCAAGUCGAGCGGAUGAAGGGAGCUUGCUCCUGGAUUCAGCGGCGGACGGGCGAGUAAUGCCUAGGAAUCUGCCUGGUAGUGGGGGCUGACGUCCGUUCACGGGCGCUAAUACCGCAUACGUCCUGAGGUAGAACGUGGGGGAUCUUCGGACCUCACGCUAUCAGAUGAGCCUAGGUCGGAUUAGCUAGUUGGUGGGGUAAAGGCCUACCAAGGCGACGAUCCGUAACUGCUCUGAGAGGAUGAUCUGUCACACUGGAACUGAGACACGGUCCAGACUCCUACGGGAGGCAGCAGUGGGGAAUAUUGGACAAUGGGCGAAAGCCUGAUCCAGCCACGCCGCGUGUGUGAAGAAGGUCUUCGGAUUGUAAAGCACUUUAAGUUGGGAGGAAGGGCAGUAAGUUAAUACCUGGCUGUUUUGACGUUACCAACAGAAUAAGCACCGGCUAACUUCGUG